rnacentral:rRNA from 1 species
UAGUCCACGCCGUAAACGAUGGUCACUAGCUGUUCGAACUUCGGUUUGAGUGGCUAAGCGAAAGUGAUAAGUGACCCACCUGGGGAGUACGUUCGCAAGUAUGAAACUCAAAGGAAUUGACGGGGGCCCGCACAAGCGGUGGAGCAUGUGGUUUAAUUCGAUGAUGCGCGAGGAACCUUACCAGGGCUUAAAUGUGGUCUGACAGCUUUAGAGAUAGAGUUUUCUUCGGACAGAUCACAAGGUGCUGCAUGGUUGUCGUCAGCUCGUGCCGUGAGGUGUCAGGUUAAGUCCUAUAACGAGCGCAACCCCUGUGGUUAGUUGCCAGCGAGUAAUGUCGGGAACUCUAGCCAGACUGCCGGUGCAAACCGCGAGGAAGGUGGGGAUGACGUCAAAUCAUCACGGCCCUUACGUCCUGGGCCACACACGUGCUACAAUGGUAGGUACAGAGAGCAGCCACUGGGUGACCAGGCGCGAAUCUAUAAAGCCUAAUCACAGUUCGGAUC